rnacentral:lncRNA from 1 species
UCGUCAAGCUGUUGACGGCUGAGCAACCAAGUAUUGUAAUUGAUUUGUUAAUAAAUAAAAUAUAUUUGGUAUUUUCAUCAUAAGCUUUCAUCUUCUAAUGAACUCCGUUGUUAUGAUGAAGUCCUUAGGACUAUUUAGAUUCGAUAAAGAGAGGAUUUAUCGAUUAGUCCUUAAAACAGUUCAUGACCAAAUGAUAGGCUAUUAAUAAGGAUGACAGCUUCUAUCGAGCAUAGGUCACUGUAGGCCAUAUGGAUUGGUUGUCCUCUUAACCAAAGAGUGUGGAGACACUGGUAUAGCAUAC